GAUCCUGGCUCAGGAUGAACGCUAGCGGCAGGCCUAACACAUGCAAGUCGAGGGGCAUCGGGAUUGAAGCUUGCUUCAAUUGCCGGCGACCGGCGCACGGGUGCGUAACGCGUAUGUAACCUACCUAUAACAGGGGCAUAACACUGAGAAAUUGGUACUAAUUCCCCAUAAUAUUCGGAGAGGCAUCUCUCCGGGUUGAAAACUCCGGUGGUUAUAGAUGGACAUGCGUUGUAUUAG
rnacentral:rRNA from 1 species